rnacentral:misc_RNA from 1 species
UGGGUUUGACAUGUACGGAUUAACUCUGUGAAAGCGGAGCCACGCCUUUCAGGUGGAACGUACACAGGUGCUGCAUGGCUGUCGUCAGCUCGUGCUGUGAAGUGUCGGGUUAAGUCCCUUAACGAGCGAAACCCCUGUCGUUAGUUGCCAGCGCGACUUCGGGUGGCGGGGACUCUAACGAGACUGCCGGUGUCAAACCGGAGGAAGGUGGGGAUGACGUCCAGGAACACCAAC